rnacentral:rRNA from 1 species
CCUACGGUGUGCAGCAGUCGGGAAUAUUGCGCAAUGGAGGAAACUCUGACGCAGUGACGCCGCGUGCAGGAAGAAGGUUUUCGGAUUGUAAACUGCUUUAGACAGGGAAGAAAAAAGACAGUACCUGUAGAAUAAGCUCCGGCUAACUACGGUCCAGCAGCCGCGGUAAUACGUAGGGAGCAAGCGUUAUCCGGAUUUAUUGGGUGUAAAGGGAGCGCAGGCGGGAAGCCAAGUCAGCUGUGAAAACUACGGGCUUAACUUGUAGAAUGCAGUUGAAACUGGUUUUCUUGAGUGAAGUAGAGGUUGGCGGAAUUCCGAGUGUAGCGGGGAAAUGCGUAGAUAUUCGGAGGAACACCGGUGGCGAAGGCGGCCAACUGGGCUUUAACUGACGCUGAGGCUCGAAAGUGUGGGGAGCAAACAGGAUUAGAUACCCUAGUAGUC